CUUUGCAUCUCCAAAGAUGCUAAAAUGCCGCACUCACAUUUUCCCUUUCUUCUGUUCCAACCACUCGUUUUUCAUUCCCUUAGUCUUCAGUGCAUGUUUUAAUGUCCUGGUUCAAUGAGGAAUCUCCAACAGAAGACCCCUGAAAUUCUGUACAAACACAUUCUCUGCUCUGAAGGAGCAUAUGUGGACAGUAGUGAACUGCAAGUUGAAAUAGCUGAUGAGUAGGAGGAGAGAUCUGAGUACCAGCAACUGGAGCAGAGACACAAACCACCAGAACUCAGAUAUCCAGCCGAAGAAGAGAGAGAGAGUGAGCACACAAUAAUAAUUGCAUCACCAAAAAAAAGGAUAGUGGAUCAGAGCACGUUGAGCCAUCAGCCGUG